CUACGGGUGGCAGCAGUGAGGAAUAUUGCACAAUGGGGGGAACCCUGAUGCAGCAACGCCGCGUGGAGGAUGACGCAUUUCGGUGUGUAAACUCCUUUUAUAUGUCAAGAAAAUGACGGUAGCAUAUGAAUAAGCACCGGCUAACUCCGUGCCAGCAGCCGCGGUAAUACGGAGGGUGCAAGCGUUACUCGGAAUCACUGGGCGUAAAGGACGCGUAGGCGGGUUGGAAAGUCAGGUGUGAAAUCCUACAGCUUAACUGUAGAACUGCACUUGAAACUUCUAAGCUAGAGUAUGGGAGGGGAGGAUGGAAUUAGUGGUGUAGGGGUAAAAUCCGUAGAUAUCACUAGGAAUACCUAAAGCGAAGGCGAUCUCCUGGAACAUUACUGACGCUAAGGCGUGAAAGCGUGGGGAGCAAACAGGAUUAGAUACCCCUGUAGUC
rnacentral:rRNA from 1 species